GCCCGCUUAGCUCAGUGGUAGAGCGCAUCACUAGUAAAUACUCGGUUCUCCGGUAAUGAUGAGGUCGCCAGUUCAAUUCUGGUAGCGGGCA